rnacentral:rRNA from 1 species
AUUGAACGCUGGCGGCAGGCUUAACACAUGCAAGUCGAGCGAGCGGCGGACGGGUGAGUAAUGUCUGGGGAUCUGCCUGAUAGAGGGGGAUAACUACUGGAAACGGUAGCUAAUACCGCAUACUAUCAGAUGUGCCCAUAUGGGAGUAGCUAGUAGGUGGGGUAAAGGCUCACCUAGGCGACGAUCCCUAGCUGGUCUUAGAGGAUGACCAGCCACACUGGAACUGAGACACGGGCCAGACUCCUACGGGAGGCAGCAGUGGGGAAUAUUGCACAAUGGGCGCAAGCCUGAUGCAGCCAUGCCGCGUGUGUGAAGAAGGCCUUCGGGUUGUAAAGUACUUUCAGCGAGGAGGCGUUACGCGCAGAAGAAGCACCGGCUAACUCCGUGCCAGCAGCCGCGGUAAUUC